rnacentral:ncRNA from 1 species
CGGUUUUCGUUAUGAAAAUCGCGAGAGGGAAACAGGUGAGAAUCCUGUACAGUACCCGCUGCUGUAAGUUUCAGCGAACCGGGAACACUCCGCAAGCCACUGUUGAGCACAUCAAUGGGAAGGCGAAGUUCCAGGUGAAACAAGUCAGAAAACCUGCCGAAGAAC